rnacentral:rRNA from 1 species
CCUACGGGUGGCUGCAGUAAGGAAUAUUGGACAAUGGGCGCAAGCCUGAUCCAGCCAUGCCGCGUGCAGGAUGACGGCCCUAUGGGUUGUAAACUGCUUUUAUACGGGAAAAAACCCCUCUACGUGUAGAGGGCUGAUGGUACCGUAAGAAUAAGGAUCGGCUAACUCCGUGCCAGAAGCCGCGGUAAUACGGAGGAUCCGAGCGUUAUCGGGUGUUAUUGGGUUGUAGGGGGACGUGUACGGAUUUGGUGAAAUCCUGCAGCUUAACUGUAGAACGGCCAUUGCUACUGCAAGUCUUGAGUACAUAUGAUGUGGGCGGAAUGUGUAGUGUAGCGGUGAAAUGCUUAGAUAUUACACAGAACACCAAUUGCGAAGGCAGCUCACAAAACUGUAACUGACGCUGAGGCACGAAAGCGUGGGGAGUGAACAGGAUUAGAUACCCCAGUAGUC